rnacentral:misc_RNA from 1 species
CAAGAAAUCGAGGCUGACGGUGCGCUACGCCCUAGGCUCCGGCCCCCGCUCUCUACCUUGCCUACUGCACCGUUUGUUGCUUCCUGGCGGCGGACUGCCCGUCCGCCAGGGCCGUUCGAUACAAUCCUAGUAUAGAAGCAUUGAAAGCUUCUGAGAAUACACGCGAAAUCGUA